CCUACGGGUGGCAGCAGUGGGGAAUAUUGCACAAUGGGGGAAACCCUGAUGCAGCGACGCCGCGUGAGUGAAGAAGUAUCUCGGUACGUAAAGCUCUAUCAGCAGGGAAGAAAAGGACGGUACGUGACUAAGAAGCCCCGGAUAACUACGUGCCAGCAGCCGCGGUAAUACGUAGGGGGCAAGCGUUAUCCGGAUUUACUGGGUGUAAAGGGGGCGUAGACGGCAGCACAAGUCUGCAGUGAAAUUCCGGGGCUUAACCCCGGAACUGCUGUGGAAACUGUGCGGCUUGAGUGCAGGAGGGGCAAGCGGAAUUCUUAGUGUAGCGGUGAAAUGCGUAGAUAUUAGGAGGAACACCGGUGGCGAAGGCGGCCUACUGGACUGUAACUGACGUUGAGGCUCGAAAGCGUGGGGAGCAAACAGGAUUAGAUACCCGAGUAGUC
rnacentral:rRNA from 1 species